rnacentral:rRNA from 1 species
UGGGGAAUAUUGCACAAUGGGCGCAAGCCUGAUGCAGCCAUGCCGCGUGUGUGAAGAAGGCCUUCGGGUUGUAAAGCACUUUCAGCGGGGAGGAAGGCGGUGAGGUUAAUAACCUCAUCGAUUGACGUUACCCGCAGAAGAAGCACCGGCUAACUCCGUGCCAGCAGCCGCGGUAAUACGGAGGGUGCAAGCGUUAAUCGGAAUUACUGGGCGUAAAGCGCACGCAGGCGGUCUGUCAAGUCGGAUGUGAAAUCCCCGGGCUCAACCUGGGAACUGCAUUCGAAACUGGCAGGCUAGAGUCUUGUAGAGGGGGGUAGAAUUCCAGGUGUAGCGGUGAAAUGCGUAGAGAUCUGGAGGAAUACCGGUGGCGAAGGCGGCCCCCUGGACAAAGACAGACGCUCAGGUGCGAAAGCGUGGGGAGCAAACAGG